AACGAACGCUGGCGGCAUGCCUAACACAUGCAAGUCGAACGAUACCGUCCGGCCUAGUGGCGCACCGGUGCGUAACGCGGUGGAACCUGCCCUUAGGUUCCGUAUCACUCCCCUAACGGGGUGCUAAUACCGGUUAAUCUCUUCCGACCAAAGAUUUACCGCCUUUGGAUGGGCCCGCGUUCGAUUAGUUAGUUGGUAGUGUAAAAGCCUGGCAAGGAGACGAUGCAUGGCUGGUCGGAGAGCAUGAUCAGCUACACUGGGACUGAGACACGGCCCAGACCCGGACGGGAGGGAGCAGUGGGGAGUAUUGUGCGAGGGACGAUAGCCUGACAAAGCAGUGCCGGGUGAGAGGUGCAGGGCGUAGGGUUGUAAAGCUCUUUUAGACGGAAUGAUAAUGACGGUACCGGGAGAAGAAGCUCCGGCUAACUACGUG
rnacentral:rRNA from 1 species